rnacentral:lncRNA from 1 species
CUUUAUUUCUCGGUUUUCUGCUUGUUUAGUGAAUUGAUUCGAGGACGCACUUCCGUGUACUGACAAAUAUCUCGACGGGAAGCCGAUUGUCUGAGAAUUUAUCCUUCCAAAGAGGAAUUUUAUAUCCACCAUACAUUUACAUCUUGGAGUGCCCAACAUAGGCAUAGGCAUAUCGGAGGAAAAAAAACAUGGAGCCAGACAUAAAUAUGCC